GUGGAUUUAGGGGUUUGUGUUGCUCUUUUGUUCUGCAAAUUCUGAACCUUCUGCCUCAUUCAGCUGGAAGUUUAAUGAAACAGACACCAAUGUGACCACAGACACAUUCACCAUAGAUGAGACUGACUUCACACACAGUGGAGAUUACAUCUGCACAGCCUGGAAUAAUGUCACAAAGAGAAACGCCUCACAGAAACAUACUUUACUAGUUAAAGAAGAAGGAGGAGGAGGGCUGUCAUCAGGGGCGAUAGCUGGGAUUGUCAUUGGGGUUUUAGUGGCAGUUGCAGGCAUUUGUGGUCUGAUUGUCUAUUUAACAAAAUCUAAUAAAAUCCCAAAGUUAAACCAACAACAAAAAGGACAAGCAAGUGGAGCAGCACAAAGCAGACAGGAGACAAAGGCUAGAGGAGAUGGAACGAUUCUAGGGAAGAUGAGUGAACAUAUAUACGAGAAUGACAAACAUGAAAAUGAGUAUGAGAAUAUGUAUGAAAAUAUAAAACCUGAAAAUUCAAGAAGGCCAAGGGCUCCUACUCCUCCUCAGGUAUCAAACCCUCCUCCUGUGCGCAGGUGAGGAAGUGAAGACACUGAAACACAUCUACUGCAAGAUGAUCAAUCAGGCUGUAUAUUUUUUUUUCUACAGUUUUAAGAUAAAAAAAUGUAUAUGGCAUAUUACUGAAAUAUUAUAAACUGUUGCAACAACUGUUUGUUCUGUGCUCCACUAAUGCCUUUUAAUUAUAAACUUGUUCCUCACAAUGGACAAAGGUA